rnacentral:rRNA from 1 species
GAUGAACGCUAGCUACAGGCUUAACACAUGCAAGUCGAGGGGAAACGACAUCGAAAGCUUGCUUUUGAUGGGCGUCGACCGGCGCACGGGUGAGUAACGCGUAUCCAACCUGCCCACCACUUGGGGAUAACCUUGCGAAAGUAAGACUAAUACCCAAUGAUAUCUCUAGAAGACAUCUGAAAGAGAUUAAAGAUUUAUCGGUGAUGGAUGGGGAUGCGUCUGAUUAGCUUGUUGGCGGGGUAACGGCCCACCAAGGCAUCGAUCGGUAGGGGUUCUGAGAGGAAGGUCCCCCACAUUGGAACUGAGACACGGUCCAAACUCCUACGGGAGGCAGCAGUGAGGAAUAUUGGUCAAUGGACGGAAGUCUGAACCAGCCAAGUAGCGUGCAGGACGACGGCCCUAUGGGUUGUAAACUGCUUUUAUAAGGGAAUAAAAGUUAGUCUCGUGAGACUUUUUGCAUGUACCUUAUGAAUAAGGACCGGCUAAUUCCGUGCCAGCA